UGUGCACUAACCUUUACUCCAUAUAUGAAAUCUGUCUAAGGAAAAAAUAAUAACACAUUUGGGCUGCAAAUAAUGAAGUGCUGUGUGAUGACUGCAUGCUGGGAGAAGAGUCCUGACUGCCAGUGGUCUAACUGUUGUCAAGGUUACCACAGCUGCAACACAGGGUGCCCCACAGAGAGCUCACCACAGACACUGUUCAUCUGGGUUGGACCUGGUGACUGA